GACGAACGCUGGCGGCGUGCCUAAUACAUGCAAGUAGAACGCUGAAGCUUGGUGCUUGCACCGAGCGGAUGAGUUGCGAACGGGUGAGUAACGCGUAGGUAACCUGCCUGGUAGCGGGGGAUAACUAUUGGAAACGAUAGCUAAUACCGCAUAAGAGUAGAUGUUGCAUGACAUUUGCUUAAAAGGUGCAAUUGCAUCACUACCAGAUGGACCUGCGUUGUAUUAGCUAGUUGGUGAGGUAACGGCUCACCAAGGCAACGAUACAUAGCCGACCUGAGAGGGUGAUCGGCCACACUGGGACUGAGACACGGCCCAGACUCCUACGGGAGGCAGCAGUAGGGAAUCUUCGGCAAUGGACGGAAGUCUGACCGAGCAACGCCGCGUGAGUGAAGAGGGUUUUCGGAUCGUAAAGCUCUGUUGUAAGAGAAGAACGAGUGUGAGAGUGGAAAGUUCACACUGUGACGGUAUCUUACCAGAAAGGGACGGCUAACUACGUG
rnacentral:rRNA from 1 species